rnacentral:tRNA from 1 species
GUCCAUGUAGCUCAAAGGCAGAGCAAUCGCUUGAUAAGCGGCGGAUGUUGGUUCGUUACCUUCCGUGGAUACCA